rnacentral:rRNA from 1 species
UACGUAGGGGCCGAGCGUUGUCCGGAGUUACUGGGCGUAAAGGGCGCGUAGGCGGCAGGCCAAGCGUGCGGUGAAAGUCCGGGGCUCAACCCCGGAUCUGCCGUGCGGACUGGUUUGCUAGAGCACUGUAGAGGCGAGUGGAAUUCCGGGUGUAGCGGUGGAAUGCGUAGAGAUCCGGAAGAACACCGGUGGCGAAGGCGGCUCGCUGGGCAGUGGCUGACGCUGAGGCGCGACAGCGUGGGGAGCAAACAGG